rnacentral:tRNA from 1 species
GCGAAAGUGGCGGAAUGGCAGACGCGCUGGUCUUAGGAACCAGUGGCUCCGGCUUUGGGGGUUCGAAUCCCCCCUUUCGCA